GGGAAAUCCGAGCUGUGAUGGGAGUUUCGGCUGGUGUUCAACGGGGUUCAAAGUGUCGGAAAUGCUUCUUUCUGCGCCCAAAUAUUUCCUUCCGACCACCGCAGCCCCUUCCGUCAACGAAAGCUGUCUGGCAGUCGUAAAUUCCGCCGCCGCAGCCAGAGGGAUGACUUUGAGAAAAUGUGACGAAGCGCUGCCCUUCAUCUGCCAGUUCAACGUCGAAUGCCCGAAAUUAUGCGAUAAAGAUGUAUGUCCGUUCUUUAGAAAACGAUUCAAUUUAUUCUUUUUAAAAGGUUUCCUUAUUUGACCUGGCUGGAAAUUUAAUAAAUAAAACUUCUUACGGAAUUUGGAUCGAGAUCGGCAACUACACUUAUCUCCUCGGAAACAAACCAAUGUCUUGGCUGUCCAACUACCUCCGUUGCUGCGCUUUAGGAAUGGAGACGCUCAACAUUGACAACCUGGCCGAGCAAAAAGGCCUGAAUAAAUUUUCUC